rnacentral:lncRNA from 1 species
CUUAAAUGACAUUAUUCCCUUAAACAACAUUCCUAUUUAAAAGGCUCACUCCGUGUUUUUUAAAAAGGCUCACUCCGUGUUUACAAAGUGCUCUCUUCUCACGCACUACUGAGCUCUCUCACUAGUUUCCCUCCAACAAAAUCGAAGCCUUGAAAUCGAUUGCUGCAAAAUCGAAGCAAAUCUUCUCCAAAUCUUCUGAAAAUCGAAUCAUGCCACAGAAAUCGAAGUCGAAGCCCUAGAAUCGGAACCCCCUAAAAAUCUCAGUUCUCUUCUCUCCGCAAUGUGGUGUGUAUAGGUAGAAUAUAGGUAUGAAUGUGGUGUGUUUCAUUCUUGUGUUUGUUCGAUACCCUGCUUCAGCUCACUCGAGCUUCCUGAAUAUAUUUUGAUUAUCUGAUCCUAUGAACACUAACUGUUGUCGGGCGAUUUACUGCCAUUGUGAAGGUUGGAUAUGUUAAGAUUUGAUAUAUUUCUAUUUCCUUUUACUUUAGUUGGAUAUGCUUCAUUCUUAUUCCAUCGACUUUUUCCAGUAAUUUUGGUUUUUUUAAAUUUCUUGGGGGAUCAAUACAAUGCUAAAAUUAGAUUUGAGGGCAUGUUUUGGAUUGUCAAGUACUCUGGUAUAGAACAUUUUCUGUGCUAUAGAUUUUGAUGUAGUCGACGUAUAUUAUUCAUAUGGGGGAGAAAAAUAGAAUUUUCCUGAAUAUAUGAAUGCAAACUCCUCUGCACUAUUGUGAUUUUUCAAAGCAUUCGUUAAUAUCUUGAUGUGCAAUAGUAAAAGACACAAGUGUCCCCCUUCUACUUUCUUGUCUUGAUUUCCUAGGAACUAUUAGUUAUUUGAUUUUAUUAAUAUUUUUAUUGAUUUCUGCACCGAUGAUCUUCUUGUCGUCUCUAAACUUCAUUAUAUAGAGAAUUCACAUAGUUUUCAGGUUGCUAAGAAACAAUAAUACCUUGUGGCAUAACUGCAAGAGAAGGGUGCUACAAUCAUAUGAAGUAAUAGUUAAAAGAUUAAUUCCCCCACCCCGACCCCCUUUUCCUUUUCCAACUUUAAUGACUAUAGUUAUAGAUACUUUUAAGUUUCAGUUGGAGUUGGGAAUAUGAGUGUGUUGUCAUAUUUCAUAUUAAAUUUUAGUUUGUUAUAUUAGUUUGCCAAUGUUCAUUGAACAUAAGAAUUUUGUUGUGUUAAUGAGACAACUGGUCAUGAUUAGCUGAAAUCAUCUCCACUAUGUAUGAUAGCUAGCCUGCAGCAAACUUGGUAACUUCACUAUGUUUGAUCUGACAAAUGGUCAUGAUUUUCAGCAUCUCCACUAAGAAUGUUUCGUUGUUGUAAUGAUUCUUAUUAUCUGUUAUCAGGUAUUCUAUGAACCAAUCAAAACUUUUGUUGAAAAAGCAGUUGGAGGAUGUGAUGAAGACAGGGCACACAAUGUGUUCGGCGAAAAUAUGCAAGCCUUUAAUUUUCCUAACAGUGUUGAAGAUUUUUACUCCCUGCUUGAUGGUAUGAGAAAUAAAGGCCUUCGCAGAAUUGCUGACAUACUGACAUGUGGCUCAAUUAAAUUUGAGAAACUAGUACUAGCAUUGAUCAUCAAGCAGUUAUCCUUUGCGUAUUUGUAUCAAAACUGAUUAGCAGCUCGGUUAGGCAAAUGUGCCAUGGACUUAUUUAUACUAAUCUAGCCAAAAUCUGUGGUGACCAAAAGCUAGGUUGUGUGAAGUCCCUAUUUUAAAUGUAAUGAAUUGAUUGUAAUGAAGCAAAGCUUUUGCCAACAACGGAUGACUACAAGUUGAUUACUAGUUGAUUUAGACAACUUUUAAAUACUGUUUUGUGCAAUGUGAUGAAGACUGUACAUGUCUUACAAGAACAAUAAUUCAAUGCAAUUAUAUUACACCAUGAUCUAUUGAGGUUGAUUGACCCUGGGUUAAUUUCUCCAUCCUAUUGACAUACCAAAAUAAUGACAUAAAUAUUACUCCAUAAAAUA